ensembl:misc_RNA 7SK 7SK RNA
GGAUGUGAGGGCGAUCUGGCUGUGACAUCUGUCACCCCAUUGAUCGCCAGGGUUGAUUCGGCUGAUCUGGCUGGCUAGGUGGGUGUCCCCCUCCUCCCUCACCACUCCAUGUGUGUCCCUCCCGAAGCUGCGCGCUCAGUCGAAGAGGACAACCAUCCCCAAUAGAGGAGGACCGGUCUUCCGUCAAGGGUAUACGAGUAGCUGUUCUCCCCUACUAGAACCUCCAAACAAGCUCUCAAGAAGCUUAGGGACACUGCCCAGGCCCUGAGUUCAAGUCCCAGGACUGGUCAAACAAAAGCAAUUAUAAAAAGGAAGUGGUGCUGUGGCUCAAGUGGUAGAGCGCCCACCUU